UACGUAGGGGGCGAGCGUUGUCCGGAAUGACUGGGCGUAAAGGGCGUGUAGGCGGUCAUUUAAGUCUGGAGUGAAAGUCCUGCAUUCAAUGUGGGAAUUGCUUUGGAUACUGGAUGACUUGAGUGCGGAAGAGGUAAGUGGAAUUCCCAGUGUAGCGGUGAAAUGCGUAGAGAUUGGGAGGAACACCAGUGGCGAAGGCGAUUCUCUGGACUGUAACUGACGCUGAGGCUCGAAAGCGUGGGGAGCAAACAGGAUUAGAUACCCCGGUA
rnacentral:rRNA from 1 species